CACGUAGGGGGCAAGCGUUGUCCGGAUUUAUUGGGCGUAAAGAGCGUGUAGGCGGCCAGGUAGGUCUGCUGUGAAAACUCGAGGCUCAACCUCGAGACGUCGGCGGAAACCAUCUGGCUAGAGUCCGGAAGAGGAGAGUGGAAUUCCUGGUGUAGCGGUGAAAUGCGCAGAUAUCAGGAGGAACACCGGUGGCGAAGGCGGAUCUCUGGGCCUUACCUGACGCUGAGGCGCGAAAGCUAGGGGAGCGAACAGG
rnacentral:rRNA from 1 species